rnacentral:rRNA from 1 species
AUUGAACGCUGGCGGCAUGCUUUACACAUGCAAGUCGAACGGCAGCGCGGGCUUCGGCCUGGCGGCGAGUGGCGAACGGGUGAGUAAUGCAUCGGAAGUGCCCAGUAGUGGGGGAUAGCCCGGCGAAAGCCGGAUUAAUACCGCAUACGACCUGAGGGUGAAAGCGGGGGACCGAAAGGCCUCGCGCUAUUGGAGCGGCCGAUGUCGGAUUAGCUAGUUGGUGGGGUAAAGGCUUACCAAGGCGACGAUCCGUAGCUGGUCUGAGAGGACGACCAGCCACACUGGGACUGAGACACGGCCCAGACUCCUACGGGAGGCAGCAGUGGGGAAUUUUGGACAAUGGGGGCAACCCUGAUCCAGCCAUGCCGCGUGCGGGAAGAAGGCCUUCGGGUUGUAAACCGCUUUUGUUCGGGAAGAAAUCCUCUGGGCUAAUACCCCGGGGGGAUGACGGUACCGGAAGAAUAAGCACCGGCUAACUACGUG